GUGAAUCAUCAAAUUUUUGAACGCAAAUUGCACUCUCUGGCAUCCCGGAGAGUAUGCCUGUUUGAGGGUCAGUUUAAUAAAAAUCGGCGUGUCGCUUUCGUGAUGCACCGGAGGUUGGGUCUUCUUAGCUUUAGGUUAAGAGUCUUAAAAUUGAUAUCUUUUUUGCGCGCUUUUAGACGUACAUAAUUUUUUUUAUUCGUCUAUUCCGGUGCCAAAAUUUACUAGGUACGAUUAUCUUGUGCCUAUAAUUUCUCAUCUUUUGACCUCAAAUCAGGUAAGGACACCCGCUGAACUUAAGCAU
rnacentral:misc_RNA from 1 species